UGAUACCAGGGUCAAAAGGUCAUGCGUUUCAUGCCUGCAUGAAAAAGCAUGACCUUGGGGCCCCUACAUCAUAUUAUACUAAAGAUUACAUAAUUCUUCAAUCAAAAACGGGAAAUUAGCGUUUGCCAACUCAAGUAUGUUUUCUGGAAUACCU
rnacentral:sRNA from 1 species